GGAUGUGAAGGCGAUCUGGCUGCGACAUCUGUCACCCCAUUGAUCGCCAGGGUUGAUUCGGCUGAUCUGGCUGGCUAGGCGGGUGUCCCCUUCCUCCCUCACAGCUCCAUGUGCGUCCCUCCCGAAGCUGCGCGCUCGGUCGAAGAGGACGACCUUCCCCGAUAGAGGAGGACCGGUCUUCGGUCAAGGGUAUACGAGUAGCUGCGCUCCCCUGCUAGAACCUCCAAACAAGCUCUCAAGGUUCUUAAUUCUACUUGAGGUUAACAACCACAAAUAGAUAAAAUUAGUUUUUAUUAUGAUAAAUUUAAAAAAAAA
ensembl:misc_RNA 7SK 7SK RNA